rnacentral:siRNA from 1 species
ACGGAGACAACUGAUGUGGACUUC